GGCGGCGUGCCUAACACAUGCAAGUCGAACGCGAAAGCCCCGCAAGGGGUGAGUAGAGUGGCAAACGGGUGAGUAACACGUGGGUGAUCUGCCUCAGAGUGGGGGAUAACGACCCGAAAGGGUCGCUAAUACCGCAUAACAUCCUGCCUUUGGAUAGGUGGAGAUCAAAGCCGGGGACCGCAAGGCCUGGCGCUUAGAGAGGAGCCCGCGGCCGAUUAGCUAGUUGGUGAGGUAACGGCUCACCAAGGCAACGAUCGGUAUCCGGCCUGAGAGGGCGGACGGACACACUGGGACUGAGACACGGCCCAGACUCCUACGGGAGGCAGCAGUGGGGAAUUGUUCGCAAUGGGCGCAAGCCUGACGACGCAACGCCGCGUGGAGGACGAAGAUUUUCGGAUCGUAAACUCCUUUCGAUCGGGAAGAACAGCUCAUGGGUUAAUACCCUGAGAGUCUGACGGUACCGAAGAGAAGAAGCCCCGGCUAACUCUGUGCCA
rnacentral:rRNA from 1 species